GGCGACCGGGUGAGUAACACGUGACUAACCUACCUCCGAGUGGGGAAUAACUCCGGGAAACCGGGGCUAAUACCGCAUAACAUCGCAAGAUCAAAGCAGCAAUGCGCUUGGAGAGGGGGUCGCGGCUGAUUAGCUAGUUGGCGGGGUAACGGCCCACCAAGGCGAAGAUCGGUAUCCGGCCUGAGAGGGCGCACGGACACACUGGAACUGAAACACGGUCCAGACUCCUACGGGAGGCAGCAGUGGGGAAUUUUGCGCAAUGGGGGAAACCCUGACGCAGCAACGCCGCGUGGAGGAUGAAGCCCUUUGGGGCGUAAACUCCUUUCGACUCGGACGAUUAUGACGGUACUGAGUGGAAGAAGCACCGGCUAACUCUGUGCCAGCAGCCGCGG
rnacentral:rRNA from 1 species